AAAAGGGACCAAACUGGUACCGCGGCUACCUUCCAAAACUCAAGUUACCGGAUCGAAGAGAUAGAGUGAUCCUCUGUCAGCGUCUUCAGCCACCUCUCACCUGCAGCCAGCCACCUCUCUUUGUGAAGCCUUUUUAGCUCAUGGCUUCAACAAUUGUUAACGUGGGACCCAUCCUGGGUCUGGAUUACGUUGGUCUCAGACCCGCCAAACCUCUGAAACUCAAUUCGGGUCGGAUCCAAAUCAAGACCACCCGCCCACAGCGC
rnacentral:lncRNA from 1 species